rnacentral:rRNA from 1 species
AUUGAACGCUGGCGGCAUGCUUUACACAUGCGAGUCGAACGGUAACAGGCCUUCGGGUGCUGACGAGUGGCGAACGGGUGAGUAAUGCAUCGGAACGUACCCAGAGGUGGGGGAUAACGCAGCGAAAGCUGUGCUAAUACCGCAUGUGAUCUGAGGAUGAAAGCGGGGGACCGAGCAGCAAUGUUUGGCCUCGCGCCUUUGGAGCGGCCGAUGUCGGAUUAGCUAGUUGGUGGGGUAAAGGCCUACCAAGGCGACGAUCCGUAGCUGGUCUGGGAGGACGACCAGCCACACUGGGACUGAGACACGGCCCAGACUCCUACGGGAGGCAGCAGUGGGGAAUUUUGGACAAUGGGCGCAAGCCUGAUCCAGCAAUGCCGCGUGCGGGAAGAAGGCCUUCGGGUUGUAAACCGCUUUUGGCAGGAACGAAACGGUGUCCGCUAAUACCGGGCGCUAAUGACGGUACCUGCAGAAUAAGCACCGGCUAACUACGUG